AUCUAGCUGACGAGUCCCAAUUAAGACGAAACAUGUGUCAAACUGGAU
rfam:Schistosoma margrebowiei strain Zambia genome assembly, scaffold: SMRZ_contig0000289